rnacentral:misc_RNA from 1 species
UCCGGUUUGUCACCGGCAGUCUCAUUAGAGUGCCCUUGCGUAGCAACUAAUGAUAAGGGUUGCGCUCGUUGCGGGACUUAACCCAACAUCUCACGACACGAGCUGACGACAGCCAUGCAGCACCUGUGUGGAAGCCAGCCAAACUGAAGAAUAACUUUUCUGCUAUUCAUACUUCCCAUGUCAAGGCCUGGUAAGGUUCUUCGCGUUGCCUCGAAUUAAACCACAUGCUCCACCGCUUGUGCGGGUCCCCGUCAAUUCCUUUGAGUUUUAAUCUUGCGACCGUACUCCCCAGGCGGAGUGCUUAAUGCGUUAGCGGCGCCACUGAACCCUACGGGCCCAACGGCUAGCACUCAUCGUUUACGGCGUGGACUAC